UUAACGCAAAUUUGUAUGGAGUUGGAAGGUUAGUCUAAGUUUGCCGCUAGGGGCGCUGUUCCAACUGCAUACAAAAUUGGGUCA
rnacentral:pre_miRNA from 1 species